GAUGAACGCUGGCGGCGUGCCUAAUACAUGCAAGUCGAGCGAACAGACGAGGAGCUUGCUCCUCUGACGUUAGCGGCGGACGGGUGAGUAACACGUGGAUAACCUACCUAUAAGACUGGGAUAACUUCGGGAAACCGGAGCUAAUACCGGAUAAUAUAUUGAACCGCAUGGUUCAAUAGUGAAAGACGGUUUUGCUGUCACUUAUAGAUGGAUCCGCGCCGCAUUAGCUAGUUGGUAAGGUAACGGCUUACCAAGGCGACGAUGCGUAGCCGACCUGAGAGGUGGAUCGGCCACACUGGAACUGAGACACGGUCCAGACUCCUACGGGAGGCAGCAGUAGGGAAUCUUCCGCAAUGGGCGAAAGCCUGACGGAGCAACGCCGCGUGAGUGAUGAAGGUCUUCGGAUCGUAAAACUCUGUUAUUAGGGAAGAACAAAUGUGUAAGUAACUAUGCACGUCUGGACGGUACCUAAUCAGAAAGCCACGGCUAACUACGU
rnacentral:rRNA from 1 species